AGCCAGCCCUGAGCUAGCCAAGAGCCCACGCCUGAGAAACGCGGCCGACCUGCCUCCACCGCUCCCCAACAAGCCUCCCCCUGAGGACUACUAUGAAGAGGCCCUUCCUCUGGGACCCGGCAAGUCGCCUGAGUACAUCAGCUCCCACAGUAAGUUCUGGUCCUCUUGGUGGGGCUGGGGACUUCCUGUCCCUGAGAAGCCAAAUUUAAGUUCCUCUGUGUCCUGUGGGAGCUGGAACUGCAAGCCUGUCACCCUCCCAACCAUGUCACCAUUGGCUUAGGAGAAGCUACC
rnacentral:lncRNA from 1 species